AAUAAACGCUGGCGGCGUGCCUAACACAUGCAAGUCGAGCGAGAAAGCUCCUUCGGGAGUUAGUAAAGCGGCGAACGGGUGAGCAACACGUGAGAAUCUACCCUUUAGUGAAGAAUACCCUCGAGAAAUCGAGGCUAAUACUGCAUACGUCCCUUCGGGGAGAAAGAUGGCCUCUUUGCUAUCGCUAAAGGAUGAGCUUGCGUACUAUUAGCUAGUUGGCGGGGUAAAGGCCCACCAAGGCAAUGAUGGUUAACCGGCCUGAGGGGGUGUACGGUCACACUGGAACUUAGACACGGUCCAGACUCCUACGGGAGGCAGCAGUGAGGAAUCUUGCGCAAUGGGCGAAAGCCUGACGCAGCGACGCCGCGUGGAGGAUGACGGUUUUCGGAUUGUAAACUCCUGUUAAGCGGGAAGAAAGACCUUGUUUCUAAUACAAGCAAGGUAUGGCGGUACCGCUAGAGAAAGCACCGGCUAACUUCGUGCCAGCAGCCGCGGUAAUGAGCUAUCGU
rnacentral:rRNA from 1 species